rnacentral:rRNA from 1 species
CGCCUGGGGAGUACGGGUGAGGUAACGGCUCACCAAGGCAUCGACGGGUAGCUGGUCUGAGAGGAUGAUCAGCCACACUGGGACUGAGACACGGCCCAGACUCCUACGGGAGGCAGCAGUAGGGAAUCUUGCGCAAUGGGCGAAAGCCUGACGCAGCAACGCCGCGUGGGGGAUGAAUGCCUUCGGGUUGUAAACCCCUUUCAGCAGGGACGAAAAUGACGGUACCUGCAGAAGAAGCUCCGGCCAACUACGUGCCAGCAGCCGCGGUAAUACGUAGGGAGCGAGCGUUGUCCGGAAUUAUUGGGCGUAAAGAGCUCGUAGGCGGUUCGGUAAGUCGGGUGUGAAAACUCAAGGCUCAACCUUGAGACGCCACUCGAUACUGCUGUGACUUGAGUCCGGUAGAGGAGUGUGGAAUUCCUGGUGUAGCGGUGAAAUGCGCAGAUAUCAGGAGGAACACCAGCGGCGAAGGCGGCACUCUGGGCCGGUACUGACGCUGAGGAGCGAAAGCAUGGGGAGCAAACAGGAUUAGAUACCCUGGUAGUCCAUGCCGUAAACGUUGGGCACUAGGUAUGGGAUCAUAUCAACGGAUUCCGUGCCGUAGCUAACGCAUUAAGUGCCCCGCCUGGGGAGUACGG